CCUACGGGUGGCAGCAGUCGAGAAUCAUUCACAAUGGGGGAAACCCUGAUGGUGCGACGCCGCGUGGGGGAAUGAAGGUCUUCGGAUUGUAAACCCCUGUCAUGUGGGAGCAAAUUAGAAAGAUAGUACCACAAGAGGAAGAGACGGCUAACUCUGUGCCAGCAGCCGCGGUAAUACAGAGGUCUCAAGCGUUGUUCGGAAUCACUGGGCGUAAAGCGUGCGUAGGCUGUUUCGUAAGUCGUGUGUGAAAGGCGCGGGCUCAACCCGCGGACGGCACAUGAUACUGCGAGACUAGAGUAAGGGAGGGGGAACCGGAAUGCUCGGUGUAGCAGUGAAAUGCGUAGAUAUCGAGAGGAACACUCGUGGCGAAGGCGGGUUCCUGGACAUUAACUGACGCUGAGGCACGAAGGCCAGGGGAGCGAAAGGGAUUAGAUACCCGAGUAGUC
rnacentral:rRNA from 1 species